rnacentral:rRNA from 1 species
UACAGAGGUCUCAAGCGUUGUUCGGAAUUACUGGGCGUAAAGGGCGCGUAGGCGGCCUGCUAAGUCGAACGUGAAAUCCCCGGGCUCAACCCGGGAACUGCGUCCGAUACUGGCAGGCUUGAAUCCGGGAGAGGGAUGCGGAAUUCCAGGUGUAGCGGUGAAAUGCGUAGAUAUCUGGAGGAACACCGGUGGCGAAGGCGGCAUCCUGGACCGGCAUUGACGCUGAGGCGCGAAAGCGUGGGGAGCGAACAGG